rnacentral:sRNA from 1 species
GCUGAGUGUGGUGGUGCAUGCCUGUAAUCCCAGCAGCUCAGGAGGCUGAGGCAGGAGAAUCUCAGGUUCAAAGCCAGCCUUAGCAAUGGCAAGAUGGUAAGCAACUCAGUGAGACCCUGUCUCUA